UUUGAAAAAAGGCGAAAAGGCGAUCAGCGCGCACCCGACAGCUCUCCUCACAGGACUUCCGGAAGUCGCGUCAUGAACCAGGCAAUUGAAGGGCUGCUUCAGUGGAUCACGCAACGGCUGGGGGAGAGGCACACACGUGUAAGGGCUGCUUCAGAUGAUCGCGGGGGAGAGGCACAGCUGAUGGAAUGGCUGCAUUUAAGGAUCGCCAAAGUAUGCGGGAAGAAAGUUGAGAGAGAUAGGAGGUGGGGGGAGGCUGAGAGAGACGGAUACAGAGGUGGGGGAAGGCUGCUGUAUGUGAAGGGCACUGCUGGGAGACAGGAACGGGGAAGGCUGCAGCAUGCGGAAGAAACGACUGAGGGAGACAGUAACGGAGGUGGGGGCAGGCUGCUGUAUGUGAAGGGCACUGCUGGGAGAAAGGAACAGAGGUGGGGGAAGGCUGCAGCAUGCGGAAGAAAAGACUGAGGGAGACAUAACGGAGAUGGGGGCAGGCUGCUGUAUAUGAAGGGCACUGCUGGGAGACAGGAACGGAGGGGGGGAAAGCUGUGGUAUGUGGAGGAAAAGCUGAGCGAGAGAGGAACGCUGAGGAAACAUAAGGAGAACACUUAGACUUUGACAGCCAAGAAGACGCUUACAGGUAACUAAUGGUUGCUAUGUGACGUCACUUCCGGAAGUGACGUCACAAAACAGGAAGAUGGAACCCGAAGAACAGGAAGAGGCUCACGGCGGCGCGCAGGCAGGGGUGAAGAUGCUUUUCUAGUGCUACAAGAUGGCGUGGCCCCUUGGACUCCAUGAGAAAGCUGCGGUUUCAAUUUUUUCCAUUUCCCUUACUAGAAAGCAGGAUGCAGCUGCAAAUUGGGUGUUAUUAAUCUCCCCAGGCUGGAAUGUCAAUGGCAAUGCAUUUGCAUUGGGACCACUUACUCUAUCAACCAAGCAGCAGUUCAGAAUUCUGUGAGGUUCAUAAAUAAGACAAUGCCUCCAUGGAAAGAGAAGCAGUACAAGAAAAUGAAUAUUCUCCUACACAGAGGAGGACAAUGUCAUCACAUUCAAGUACCCGGAGGGCCAAGAAAAAAAACUUUAGUGUCCAUAAUUUCUCUCAACUAUACAGCAUAAAUCAAAACAUUCUGACUUUGGAAAUUGCAUAUCAAUAAAAAAUUAAACU